CAACCCUCUCACCAGGACCAAGGGGUCAGAUAGCACUACAACCACACAGUCAACAACCCUCUCACCAGGACCAAGGGGUCAGAUAGCACUACAACCACACAGUCAACAACCCUCUCACCAGGACCAAGGGGUCAGAUAGCACUACAACCACACAGUCAACAACCCUCUCACCAGGACCAAGGAGUCAGAUAGCACUACAACCACACAGUCAACAACCCUCUCACCAGGACCAAGGAGUCAGAUAGCACUCACAACCACACAGUCAACAACCCUCUCACCAGGACCAAGGAGUCAGAUAGCACUACUCACAGUCAACAACCCCCUCACCAGGACCAAGGGGUCAGAUAGCACUACAACCACACAGUCAACAACCCUCUCACCAGGACCAAGGAGUCAGAUAGCACUACAACCACACAGUCAACAACCCCCUAACCAGGACCAAGGAGUCAGAUAGCACUCACAACAACACAGUCAACAACCCUCUCACCAGGACCAAGGAGUCAGAUAGCACUCACAACAACACAGUCAACAACCCUCUCACCAGGACCAAGGAGUCAGAUAGCACUACUCACAGUCAACAACCCCCUCACCAGGACCAAGGAGACAGAUAGCACUCACAACCACACAGUCAACAACCCUCUCACCAGGACCAAGGAGUCAGAUAGCACUACUCACAGUCAACAACCCCCUCACCAGGACCAAGGAGACAGAUAGCACUCACAACCACACAGUCAACAACCCUCUCACCAGGACCAAGGAGUCAGAUAGCACUACUCACAGUCAACAACCCCCUCACCAGGACCAAGGAGACAGAUAGCACUCACAACCACACAGUCAACAACCCUCUCACCAGGACCAAGGAGACAGAUAGCACUACAACCACACAGUCAACAACCCCCUCACCAGGACCAAGGAGUCAGAUAGCACUACAACCACACAGUCAACAACCCCCUAACCAGGACCAAGGAGUCAGAUAGCACUACUCACAGUCAACAACCCUCUCACCAGGACCAAGGAGUCAGAUAGCACUACUCACAGUCAACAACCCUCUCACCAGGACCAAGGGGUAGGAUAGCACUACAACCACCACAACAUCCCUUGAUAGGACUCAAACAAGACAUUGAGAGGAUAACGACAAGGAAGAGAAUCCAAGCGUCCAACACAACAGACACACAUCCAACACCACAUCAGUCCUGCGACAGCACUCACAAACACAGAGUACAUGAUGAAGAGUACACCACUCCGGCCUUGAGCUCCAGUAGAGAAGCCAACACCGUCAUAGUUCUCAUGAGAUAACAUAAAUACAAGAUAAUGCUCUGAGAUAACGUUAAAUACGAGAUAAUGCUCUGAGAUAACGUAAAUACGAGAUAACGCUAUGAUAUAACGUAAAUACGAGAUAAUGCUCUGAGGUAACGUAAAUACGAGAUAACGCCCUGAGAUAACGUAAAUAUCAGAUACUGCUCUGAGAUAACGUUAAAUAUGAGAUAACGCUUGGAGAUAGCGUAAAUACAAGAUAAUGCUCUGAGAUAACGUAAAUACAAGAUAAUGCUCUGAGGUAACGUAAAUACGAGAUAAUGCUCUGAGAUAACACAAAUACGAGAUAAUGCCGCGAUAUAACGUAAAUAUGAGAUAAUGCUCUGAGAUAACGUGAAUACGAGAUAAUGCUCUGAGAUAACAUAAAUGCGAGAUAAUGCUCUUGAGAUAACGUUAAAU
ensembl:lncRNA